GAUGAACGCUGGCGGCGUGCUUAACACAUGCAAGUCGAACGGAAAGGCCCUUGCUUGCAGGGGUACUCGAGUGGCGCACGGGUGAGUAACACGUGGGUGAUCUGCCCAGCACUUCGGGAUAAGCCUGGGAAACUGGGUCUAAUACCGGAUAGGACCGUCGUCUAGUGUCGGUGGUGGAAAGUUUUUUCGGUGUGGGAUGAGCUCGCGGCCUAUCAGCUUGUUGGUGGGGUAAUGGGCUACCAAGGCGUCGACGGGUAGCCGGCCUGAGGGGGGGAACGGCAACAAUGGGGGUGAUAUACGGCCCAGACUCCUACGGGAGGCAGCAGUGGGGAAUAUUGCACAAUGGGCGCAAGACUGAUGCAGCGGCGCCGCGGGGGGGAUGACGGCCUUCGGGUUGUAAACACCUUUCGUCAGGGACGAAGCGAAAGUGACGGUACCUGGAGAAGAAGCACCGGCUAACUACGUG
rnacentral:rRNA from 1 species